UAUUAAAUACUAAAAUUAGCUUUUAAUUUUUCUAAAUCACUUUUUAAGCUCUCAAAAACAAUUUAAAACGGGCCGUGAAGUCUGAUAAAUUCCAAAUCUACUCGAUCUUAUUUUAAGGAAAUUGAUUUACAAUACUAAAUUGAAUGGGUCCUAAUACAUGACAUAUUUGACCUCCCAAUAGAGCAGGUGAUAUCUCAGCAUAGUGAAGUGACCCACGUAUACAAGUUUUUAUUCCCAAGCAAGACACUAUGCCCAGCUAAGCAUGUCCAUAUCAAAUUAUCAAGAGCCACGCUCGUGCAGAGGACAAAUGCACAUGCCUAUUGGCUCUAUGAUGUUGAUGCAUUUAUAGGUUCACGAUAUGGAUUCAGAAAUGCUUCUUAGAAGCUCCUUUAAGUAAGUCAACGACUUUCAUGCUUAAUGUUUUUUUUCAAUAUGCUAUUGACUCUUUGAGUCAUAAGUUCUCUUUUCAUUGGAGAUUUGGGCUAUGAUCAUCCCCUUUAAAUAGAGAUAUUCUACACAAGAUUUAUCGUA
rnacentral:lncRNA from 1 species